rnacentral:rRNA from 1 species
GAUGAACGCUGGCGGCGUGCUUAACACAUGCAAGUCGAACGAUGAAGCCCAGCUUGCUGGGUGGAUUAGUGGCGAACGGGUGAGUAACACGUGAGUAACCUGCCCUUGACUCUGGGAUAAGCCUGGGAAACUGGGUCUAAUACUGGAUAUGACUUCUCAUCGCAUGGUGGGGGGGGUAAGGAUUUUUUGUUUUUGGAUGGACUCGCGGCCUAUCAGCUUGUUGUUGGGGUAAUGGUUCACCAAGGCGAGGCCGGGUAGCCGGCCUGAGAGGGUGACCGGCCACACUGGGACUGAGACACGGCCCAGACUCCUACGGGAGGCAGCAGUGGGGAAUAUUGCACAAUGGGCGCAAGCCUGAUGCAGCGACGCCGCGUGAGGGAUGACGGCCUUCGGGUUGUAAACCUCUUUCAGUAGGGAAGAAGCGAGAGUGACGGUACCUGCAGAAGAAGCGCCGGCUAACUACGUG